GCCCAGAAAGGCACCAGAAGUCUGCAGCUGGAUCAGACAGUAGAUACAGCAUCAGAGCUAGCAUGCACCCUCUGCUCCCUUCCCCUGCACCAUUUUGCUCAUUUCCUCCCUUGCCUUGUUUUUUGUUUUGUUUCGUUUUGUUUUGUUUUGUUUUGUUUUGUUUUUGAGAUGGAGUCUCUGUUGCCCAAGCUUGAGUGCACUGGCGUGAUCUCAGCUCACUGUAACCUGUGCCUCCCAGGUUCAAGAGAUUCUCCUGCCUCAACCACCCGAGUAGCUGGCCCUGCAGGUGUAUGCCACCAUGUCCAGCUAAUUUUUGUAUUUUUAGUAGAGACGGGGUUUCACCAUGUUGGCCAGGCUAGUCUCGAACUCCGACCUCAAGUGAUCAACCUGCUUGGCUUUCCAAAGUGCUCCCUUGCCUGCUUUCUGCUCCAAAAGUGAAGCCGUAAGAUGCCACAAUAUUAGAGGAUAGAGGAGAUUAUCAGGCUUCUGAGCCCAAGCCUGCACGUAUACAUCCAGACGGCCUGAAUCAACUGAAGAAUCACAAAAGAAGUGAAAAUGGCCGGUUCCUGCCUUAACUGAUGACAUUCCACCAUUGUGAUUUGUUCCUGCCCCACCUUAGCUGAUCAAUUAAAUUUGUGAAAUUCCUUCUCCUGGACAAUAAGUCUCAGAAGCUCCCCCACCAAGCACCUUGUAACCCCUGCCCCCUGCCCGCAAGAGAAAAACCCCUUUUGACUGUAAUUUUCCACUACCCACCCAAAUCCUAUAAAACUGCCACACCCCUAUCUCCCUUCGCUGACUCUCUUCUCGGACUCAACCCUCCUGCAGCCGGGUGAUUAAAAAGCUUUAUUGGUCACACAAA